GACGAACGCUGGCGGCGUGCCUAAUACAUGCAAGUAGAACGCUGAAGAGAGGAGCUUGCUCUUCUUGGAUGAGUUGCGAACGGGUGAGUAACGCGUAGGUAACCUACCUUGUAGCGGGGGAUAACUAUUGGAAACGAUAGCUAAUACCGCAUAACAAUGGAUGACACAUGUCAUUUAUUUGAAAGGGGCAAUUGCUCCACUACAAGAUGGACCUGCGUUGUAUUAGCUAGUAGGUGAGGUAAUGGCUCACCUAGGCGACGAUACAUAGCCGACCUGAGAGGGUGAUCGGCCACACUGGGACUGAGACACGGCCCAGACUCCUACGGGAGGCAGCAGUAGGGAAUCUUCGGCAAUGGGGGCAACCCUGACCGAGCAACGCCGCGUGAGUGAAGAAGGUUUUCGGAUCGUAAAGCUCUGUUGUAAGUCAAGAACGGGUGUGAGAGUGGAAAGUUCACACUGUGACGGUAGCUUACCAGAAAGGGACGGCUAACUACGUG
rnacentral:rRNA from 1 species